rnacentral:rRNA from 1 species
UCUUGGUCAUUUAGAGGAAGUAAAAGUCGUAACAAGGUUUCCGUAGGUGAACCUGCGGAAGGAUCAUUAAAGAAAUUUAAUAAUUUUGAAAAUGGAUUUUUUUGUUUUGGCAAGAGCAUGAGAGCUUUUACUGGGCAAGAAGACAAGAGAUGGAGAGUCCAGCCGGGCCUGCGCUUGAGUGCGCGGUCGUGCUAGGCUUGUAAGUUUCUUUCUUGCUAUUCCAAACGGUGAGAGAUUUCUGUGCUUUUGUUAUAGGACAAUUAAAACCGUUUCAAUACAACACACUGUGGAGUUUUCAUAUCUUUGCAACUUUUUCUUUGGGCAUUCGAGCAAUCGGGGCCCAGAGGUAACAAACACAAACAAUUUUAUCUAUUCAUUAAAUUUUUGUCAAAAACAAGAAUUUUCGUAACUGGAAAUUUUAAAAUAUUAAAAACUUUCAACAACGGAUCUCUUGGUUCUCGCAUCGAUGAAGAACGCAGCGAAAUGCGAUACGUAAUGUGAAUUGCAGAAUUCCGUGAAUCAUCGAAUCUUUGAACGCACAUUGCGCCCCUUGGUAUUCCAGGGGGCAUGCCUGUUUGAGCGUCAUUUCCUUCUCAAACAUUCUGUUUGGUAGUGAGUGAUACUCUUUGGAGUUAACUUGAAAUUGCUGGCCUUUUCAUUGGAUGUUUUUUUUCCAAAGAGAGGUUUCUCUGCGUGCUUGAGGUAUAAUGCAAGUACGGUCGUUUUAGGUUUUACCAACUGCGGCUAAUCUUUUUUUAUACUGAGCGUAUUGGAACGUUAUCGAUAAGAAGAGAGCGUCUAGGCGAACAAUGUUCUUAAAGUUUGACCUCAAAUCAGGUAGGAGUACCCGCUGAACUUAAGCAUAUCAAUAAGCGGAG